CCUACGGGUGGCAGCAGUGGGGAAUAUUGGGCAAUGGGCGCAAGCCUGACCCAGCAACGCCGCGUGAAGGAAGAAGGCUUUCGGGUUGUAAACUUCGGGUAAGAGGGAAGAGAAGAAGACGGUACCUCUGGAAUAAGCCACGGCUAACUACGGGCCAGCAGCCGCGGUAAUACGUCGGUGGCAAGCGUUGUCCGUAUUUACUGGGUGUAAAGGGCGUGUAGCCGGGCUGACAAGUCAGAUUUGAAAGUCCGGGGCUCAACCCCGGACCUGCAUUUGAAACUGUUGGUCUUGAGUAUCGGAGAGGCAGGCGGAAUUCCUCGUGUAGCGGUGAAAUGCGUAGAUAUUAGGAGGAACACCAGUGGCGAAGGCGGCCUGCUGGACGACAACUGACGGUGAGGCGCGAAAGCGUGGGGAGCAAACAGGAUUAGCUACCCUGGUAGUC
rnacentral:rRNA from 1 species